rnacentral:rRNA from 1 species
GUGUCAGCAGCCGCGGUAAUACAGAGGUCUCAAGCGUUGUUCGGAUUCAUUGGGCGUAAAGGGUGCGUAGGUGGCGAUGCAAGUCUGGUGUGAAAUCUCGGGGCUCAACCCCGAAAUGGCAUUGGAUACUGCGUUGCUCGAGGACUGUAGAGGAGAGUGGAAUUCACGGUGUAGCAGUGAAAUGCGUAGAUAUCGUGAGGAAGACCAGUUGCGAAGGCGACUCUCUGGGCAGUUCCUGACACUGAGGCACGAAGGCCAGGGGAGCAAACGGGAUUAGAUACCCGCGUAGUCC